UAACUAUGGUGUCAUUUUCACAUCUAAGAAAAUUAACCAAAGUACUGACAUUAUCCUGCUGAAAGAAAAUCUUGUGUUGAUCAUUUUUGAUUUUGCCUUUAUGAGGGUAAAAUAACGACAGAUUGACAUGGACAAUU